rnacentral:rRNA from 1 species
GAUGAACGCUGACAGAAUGCUUAACACAUGCAAGUCUACUUGAACUUCGGUUUGGGUGGCGGACGGGUGAGUAGCGCGUAAAGAACUUGCCUCACAGUUAGGGACAACGUUUGGAAACGAAUGCUAAUACCUGAUAUUAUGAUUUUAGGGCAUCCUAGGAUUAUGAAAGCUAUAUGUGCUGUGAGAGAGCUUUGCGUCCCAUUAGCUAGUUGGAGAGGUAACGGCUCACCAAGGCGAUGAUGGGUAGCCGGCCUGAGAGGGUGAACGGCCACAAGGGGACUGAGACACGGCCCUUACUCCUACGGGAGGCAGCAGUGGGGAAUAUUGGACAAUGGACCAAAAGUCUGAUCCAGCAAUUCUGUGUGCACGAUGACGUUUUUCGGAAUGUAAAGUGCUUUCAGUUGGGAAGAAAAAAAUGACGGUACCAACAGAAGAAGUGACGGCUAAAUACGUG